GUGACAGACAGCGGGCUCUGAGCGCCCACGGCAGCGAGGCCUCCCUGCAAAGGCCUCUGUGGAGCCCCUCUGUCCCUGACCCUCCCGCUGCCUGGAGAAUGUUCAAGCUGGAAUUCUGUAACACAUGUCAAUAUGUGGGAGUUCCUUUAAAAACUACUCUGAAUGGAAGGCUUGAUUAUUAAUGUGGAGAUUGGGAGCUGAAUGCAGAUGGAUCAGAUGCUCAUCCCUUCCAAACCCUGAGUGUCUGGACUCUUCUGGAACAUCGAGUUUGCUGUUGUGUCCC